ensembl:lncRNA
CCUCUUUUUUUCUUUUUUUUCAGAUCAAAUUUUUAUGGUUCUGGGUCUAUAAUUUAUGAUAUGCACUUGUGUCCAGUAUAAUUGACUCAGCAGGGGUAUAAGUGGAUAAAGCUGGGACUACAAUGUGGAAGAUCAGUGAGACACUAGCAACAAGGCUUUGCUCUGAGGGAGGUGGUCAGUAGUAGUGGCAUAUUUUGUAAACUUGCCCCUCAGUUCUCUCCAGGAGACAACAGUCUCUCUUGCCAGCUCCAUGGGACUAAGGCACUCUUAAUGAUAUCAAGAGUGAAAAUUUUCAGCUGCAUGGACGUCUUGCAAAGUCAAAUGAAGGACUUCAGGUGAGAACUACUGGCAGCUUUUUCCUGUAAACACUGAUGCUGGAUUUGUAUAUGGUACCAAUCAGAAAACACUAAAUUAUUAAUUUCUGUCCUGAUUUCAUCAUUCCUUAAGACAUAGAACAUAAUUUUGCCCACUGUAAAAUAAAGAGAAAAGCUGCUAUUCAGUUUCAUAUUGUACUUGUGAAGGAAGCAAGUUUCUGCAUCUGAGAUUUCUGCAUUUGUUUAGCUGUCCCACUUGCACACCAGCUUCUUCAACACCUACAGAGCCGCUCAGAAGCAGAAUCCAAAACAGAAUUAAACCUGAGAGAGGAAUCAGAA